UUAGCUUCUAAUUGGGCAAUCUCCAUUGUUUCAAGAUGUUUCUUGUGUUCUUCACUACAAGUACAUGUUGGAAUGUUCUUCAAACUUUCGCUCAGCAAUUUUUGUUCCAGAUGGAGCAUUUCGUAUUCGAGCUUAAGUACCUUAUUUUCCAACUUUGCGCUAAGAUUUGAAAGCACCAUAAAAACUUUAUGAAGAUUGCAAAUUAAAUAACAAACAAAAAGAAAAAGGAAAUUGAAAAGAAACUCACCUGAUAAGUUUUAGUUUUGAACUAGAACCCUGAUUUCCAGAAGCCAUUGGUUAGAGACUAGAGCAAAUUAAGAUAAACCUUUUUUUUCUUGAAUUUGCUAUAUGAUAAGUUGCUUCUCAUGAAUAGAGGAGAAAGCCCUUUAAAUAGAUAGUUUUCAUAAUGUUCUUACUAAAUAUAAUUUUGAAAGUUAAUAUUAUCAUAAUAUAA
rnacentral:lncRNA from 1 species